UACGAAGGGGGCUAGCGUUGCUCGGAAUCACUGGGCGUAAAGGGUGCGUAGGCGGGUCUUUAAGUCAGGGGUGAAAUCCUGGAGCUCAACUCCAGAACUGCCUUUGAUACUGAGGAUCUUGAGUUCGGGAGAGGUGAGUGGAACUGCGAGUGUAGAGGUGAAAUUCGUAGAUAUUCGCAAGAACACCAGUGGCGAAGGCGCUUUCUGGUCUGUAACUGACGCUGAGGAACGAAAGCCAGGGGAGACAAACGGG
rnacentral:rRNA from 1 species